UACGGGGGGGGCAAGCGUUGUUCGGAAUUACUGGGCGUAAAGGGCUCGUAGGUGGCCAACUAAGUCAUACGUGAAAUCCCUCGGCUUAACCGGGGAACUGCGUCUGAUACUGGAUGGCUUGAGUUUGGGAGAGGGACGCGGAAUUCCAGGUGUAGCGGUGAAAUGCGUAGAUAUCUGGAGGAACACCGGUGGCGAAGGCGGCGUCCUGGACCAAUACUGACACUGAGGAGCGAAAGCCAGGGGAGCAAAGCGGG
rnacentral:rRNA from 1 species